AUUCUGGGGAAAAGCUGUCAAAGUCACUCGUUCUCUUUUUUCAGGUAUGAAAGUAGCAUCCUCAGGGGAAGGUCUUCCUGAAGAAACCUGAAUCUGCCAACGGUCCAUGACAGAGAGUAGGUGUGAAUGAAAACAUGGUGGCUGAAUGAGUGGCAGGUGCACUGCCCUCUGGAGGCUGGGGAAGAUACAUUGGAGGAAGAAAUUGUUUCCAGAAGUGUCAAAGAAGUUUGCAAGAUGGAGGAGAAUAUGAAUUAUAUUUGAAGACUGGGCAACACCUACAAAUACCAACGCAAUUAAGUAGAAAGCAGAUUAGACGAGGAUACCAUGAACAGAUUUCUAGUGGCCAGAAUCCAAAUGAAUGUUAGUGGGAGAGUGUUGCAGAAUUACAGGGUAGUUGCAAAAGUUAGAGAGAAUACAUGUAGUUAAAUAAUCUGGGAGUAAAAUACAUAUGGAUAUAACUAUAGACAAUGAAUUCUCACUUGUCCAAACGAGUUUGUAGCAACAACAAAAAACAGGCUCUUGAGUUUUUCCCAUGCCGUCAUUAGCUUUUUAAUAGGCUAUUAACCACUGAAAUUUCUCAGCAGCAGCAGGUCAUAUUGGGAAAUAUCCUUGCUGUGCAGUCUCUUUUGGAUUAGAUUAGAUAUUCAC
rnacentral:lncRNA from 1 species